AUACGUAGGUGGCGAGCGUUGUCCGGAAUUACUGGGUGUAAAGGGCGCGUAGGCGGGGCUGCAAGUCAGAUGUGAAAUCCUGGGGCUCAACCCUGGGGCUGCAUUUGAAACUGUAGUUCUUGAGUGCAGGAGAGGGAAGUGGAAUUCCUAGUGUAGCGGUGAAAUGCGUAGAUAUUAGGAGGAACACCAGUGGCGAAGGCGGCUUCCUGGACUGUAACUGACGCUGAGGCGCGAAAGCGUGGGGAGCAAACAGGAUUAGAUACCCUGGUAGUCCACGCUGUAAACGAUGGAUACUAGGUGUAGGGGGUUUGAAUACCUUCUGUGCCGGAGUUAACACAAUAAGUAUCCCACCUGGGGAGUACGGCCGCAAGGUUGAA
rnacentral:rRNA from 1 species